CCUCCUGGCUUCGCUUCCUGGUGGAAGGCACACCUGGGAGCCUGGUCUCUCCCUGGAAAACGCAAAGGGGGCGGCGUUGCCUGGAAACGUGGUGGUGUCUGCUGUGCUGUCCUAAGAGGAAAGACACUGUGGGGGACCCUGAGGCCACUGCAUUCUUUUUCUGGGCAGCCCCAUCUAGCUCCAAUUUGGGACGCUUCCGCUUACGAAACCAGGCACAACUCCGAUGGGGGUGUUUCCAGCGCUUGGCCUUUGCUGAGCGUGGCGGUCCUUCUCACCCAAGGAAACCAGAGAAUGAAGAGCCAAUGGGAGUGUGCAGGGUCAAGGAAAAAUGUCUUCCAUGCAUCUCCAGAGGGGUUUGGAAUUUUCAGCUGAAACUAAAGGUAAACCUCACUAACAUGGCUUAAACCAUAGAAAUAUAUUAGUUGCCUAAUAACUGUGGAGACUGGGCAGCAGCAGGGUUAGUUUAUAGGACAAUAUCAUCAUAGGCCAAAUUGCCUCUGUCUUUUUUUUUUUUGUCCUUUUAGGACCUCACCUGAGGCACAUGGAGGUUCCCAGGCUAAGGGUCUAAUCGGAGCUGUAGCCGCCAGUCUAUGCCAGAGCCACAGCAACGCGGGAUCCGAGCUGCAUCUGCAGCUUACACCACAGCUCACGACAACGCCGGAUCCUUAACCCACUGAGCAAGGCCAGGGAUCGAACCUGCAACCUCAUGGAUCCUAGUUGGAUUUGUUUCCACUGCACCAUGAUGGGAACUCCAUAAACAGUAUUGUUUUCUAGUUUCGGGGGGUUUUUUUUUUGUUUUUUUUUUUUUUUUUUUUUUUUUGCUUUUUAGGGCCACACCCGAAGCACAUGGAGGUUUCCAGGCUAAGGGUACAAUUGGAACUACAGCUGCCAGCCUACACCACAGCCAUAGCAACGUGGGAUCCAAGCCACAUCUGUGACCUAUAACACAGUUCAUGGCAACGCCAGAUCCUUAACCCACUGAGCAAGGCCAGGGAUCGAACCCACAACCUAAUGGUUCCUAGUCGGAUUCAUUUCCACUGUGCCACAAGCUGCCUCUGUCUUUAUGCUCUGCCAUCUUCCACACACUGGCUUGUUCACUAGGCUGAUUCUCCUUGUGGGCCCCAAAUGGCUGCAGGGGUUCCAGACUCUGAGUAUCAGCAACAACUUCCAGGUAGAAAGAGGGAAUCCACCCUGUCUUGUGUCCCAUUUUAAGACUGAGGAGGAGUUCCAGUUGUGGCCUGGCGGGUUAAGGAGCCAGUGUUGUUUCUGUGAGGAUGGGGGUUCAAUCCUGCAGCAAAGGUUGCUGAUGCAGCUCAGAUCCGCUGUUGCCAUGGCUUUGGUGUAGGCCUCAGCUGCGGCUCCAAUCAAUUUGAACCCUAGCUGGAGAACUUCCAUAUGCCUUGGGUGUGGCCAUAGCACAAAAAAAAAAAAAAAAAAAAAAAAAAAAGGCUGAGGAAAUCCUUCCCAGAGUCCUCAGUAGACUUCUGACAUCUCAUGGUCUCACAACCAUGCUUAAACCAAUAAUUCAGCAAAGGGAAUGACAGCACCAUGAUUGGGUUAGAGAAAAUUAAGGUUUCCUUUUGGGGCUGGAGGGGGCCCUAAGCUGCUCUAAGGUCAAGGUCACGUGGAGAAGGGGGAGACAAAGCAGGGGGUCUUGUUAGAGGGAGGAAGUGGGGAUUGGCUCCACAGGUAUGUUCAGAAUUGGGCUGUAGAAAAUUGGGCCAAAAGAUUGGAAUUGGCCUGAGCUGGAGCCAGAAUGAGAACCAGUGUGAAUAAGUGAGGAGAGCUUAGGCAAGUCCAACAGCCUUGAGUAAUCAUGACUAAUUUUAUUGGAUUGGUUGAUAUGUGAUAUGUAGGGUGCAGAGGAAUAUAUUAGCACAGUGAUUAUCAAAUCUUUGGUAUGUGUUACUCAUUUUUAAAAAAUCAUUACAUAGUAAUACAAAUGACAUUUCUUUUUCAUUUUCUUUUUUUUUCUUUUUAUGGCCCCACCUGCAGCCUAUGGGAGUUCCCAGGCUAGGGGUUGAAUCGGAGCUGUAGCCACUGGCCUACGCCAGAGCCACAGCAACACGGGAUCCGAACCGUGUCUGUGACAUACACCACAGUUCAUGGCAACACCAAAUCCUUAACCCAUUGAACUGAGGCCAGGGAUCAAAUGUGAAACCUCAUGGUUACUGGUCAGAUUCAUUUCCACUGAGCCAUGAUGGGAACUCCCAUAUUCUUUGAUGCUAUGUCAAAACUCGACCUGUGAUAGUAUUUAAAGGUUACUGGCAAUGUGGGAGCAAUAAGCAUAAUAAUGAACCUUUCAUACUCUGUUAUAUUAAAAUCCACUGGUCUGUUUGACAUUUUGAAUGGAUAUUUUAUUCAUGAAUAUUUUAUAACAUCACACAUUUUUUUCAUUUGUAAAAUAUCAGUUAUCGAAUUAUGCAGAUCUUCUAAGUGUUGACGUAUUUCAAACGAUACAAAAGAGUUCAUUAAUGUCAUCACCUAUCCUAUAAGGAAAGUAAUGGGAAGCUGUCAAACUCAUGGUGGUGAAUUCAAAUGUUACAGUAUCCUAAUUUUCCCCUGAAAGUUCUGUCUUAUCAUUGACAAGAAAGGAAAAAAAAGGCAGUUGUUUUCCUUGAAAUGAAGGGCUUACUCUGUUUGUUUCUAACACAAUGUCAGCCAAAUACCCAAGCCUGAAAAAUCGUGAUUUGUCUAUCUGUUUUCUUUCCAAAAAAUGAUGUUGCAUGACAAAAAAAGUUCCUGUCGUGGUGCAGCGGUAACAAACCUGACUAGUAUCCAUGAGGACCUGGGUUCCAUCCCUGGCCUUGCUCACUGGGUUGAGGAUCCAGCGUUGCCGUGGGUUGUGGUGUAGGUUGCAGAUGCGGCUCAGGUCCUGUGUUGCUGUGGCUAUGGUGUAGGCUGGCAGCUGCAGCUACAGUUCAACCCCUAGCCCAGGAACUUCUAUAUGCUGCAGGUUUGGCCAUAAGAAGACAAAUAAAUAAAGUUGAUAAACUUCUUGUCACGUUAACUAAGAAAAUAGAGAGGAUGCAAAUUACAAAUGGCAGAAAUGACAAGGAGGACAUUAUUAAAGAUCUCAUGGACAUUAAAAAAAAGGAAUAAUGAGAAGAUAUUAUGAACAACUCUAUGCUCACAGAUUUGGUAACCUAGAUGAAAUGGGCCAGUUCCUCAAAAGACACAUCUGCUAGGACUCACAAGAAGAAAUAGACUAUCUGAUAGGCCUAUAUCUAUUAAGGACAUCAAAUCAAUAAUUAAUGAUCUUCCAAAACAGAAAGCACCAGGCACAGAGGGGUACGCUGGUGAAUUCUACCAAACAGUUAAGGAAGAAAUUACACUAACUGCUUACAAUCUCUUUCAGAGGACAGAAGCAGAGGAAAUACUUCCUAACUUAUUCUAUGAGGCUAGAAUUACCCUAAUACCAAAACCAUCGCAUCAAAUAGGCUAAAAACAAAAACAAAAAAA
rnacentral:lncRNA from 1 species